CCUACGGGGGGCAGCAGUGAGGAAUAUUGGUCAAUGGACGAGAGUCUGAACCAGCCAAGUAGCGUGAAGGAUGACUGCCCUAUGGGUUGUAAACUUCUUUUAUAUGGGAAUAAAACGUUCCACGUGUGGGAUUUUGUAUGUACCAUAUGAAUAAGGAUCGGCUAACUCCGUGCCAGCAGCCGCGGUAAUACGGAGGAUCCGAGCGUUAUCCGGAUUUAUUGGGUUUAAAGGGAGCGUAGGUGGAUUGUUAAGUCAGUUGUGAAAGUUUGCGGCUAAACCGGAAAAUUGCAGUUGAAACUGGCAGUCUUGAGUACAGUAGAGGUGGGCGGAAUUCGUGGUGUAGCGGUGAAAUGCUUAGAUAUCACGAAGAACUCCGAUUGCGAAGGCAGUUCACUGGACUGCAACUGACACUGAGGCUCGAAAGUGUGGGUAUCAAACAGGAUUAGAUACCCGUGUAGUC
rnacentral:rRNA from 1 species